rnacentral:rRNA from 1 species
UGCCUAAUACAUGCAAGUCGAGCGAGGUAGCUUGCUACCUAGCGGCGAACGGGUGAGUAACACGUAGGUAACCUGCCUUGAGACUGGGAUACCGGACGAAAGUUCGGCUAAUACCGGAUAACAACGGAGAUGGCAUCUCUCCGCUUGAAAGGUGCGUUUGCACCACUCUUAGAUGGACCUGCGGCACAUUAGGCUAGUUGGUGAGAUAACAGCCCACCAAGGCGAGGAUGUGUAGCCGACCUGAGAGGGUGACCGGCCACAAUGGGACUGAGACACGGCCCAUACUCCUACGGGAGGCAGCAGUAGGGAGUUUUCGGCAAUGGGCGAAAGCCUGACCGAGGCAACGCCGCGUGAGUGAAUGAAGGUCUUCGGAUUGUAAAGCUCUGUUACGAGGGGACGAAACGUACGAUCAGGAAAUGGGUCGUAUUUGACUAUACCUCGCCAGAAAGUGACGGCUAACUACGUGCCAGCCGCCGC